rnacentral:rRNA from 1 species
AACGAACGCUGGCGGCAUGCCUAACACAUGCAAGUCGAACGAGACCUUCGGGUCUAGUGGCGCACGGGUGCGUAACGCGUGGGAAUCUGCCCUUGGGUUCGGAAUAACACAGAGAAAUUUGUGCUAAUACCGGAUGAUGACGUAAGUCCAAAGAUUUAUCGCCCAGGGAUGAGCCCGCGUAGGAUUAGCUAGUUGGUGGGGUAAAGGCUCACCAAGGCUACGAUCCUUAGCUGGUCUGAGAGGAUGAUCAGCCACACUGGGACUGAGACACGGCCCAGACUCCUACGGGAGGCAGCAGUGGGGAAUAUUGGACAAUGGGCGAAAGCCUGAUCCAGCAAUGCCGCGUGAGUGAAGAAGGCCUUAGGGUUGUAAACUGCUUUAGUCUAGGAAAAGGGUGCGAGGUUAAUACCUCGUGCUUUGAUGGUACUGGAAGAAUAAGCACCGGCUAACUACGUGCCAGCAGCCGCGGUAAGGAGUAGUACA